rnacentral:misc_RNA from 1 species
CAAGUAAUAAGUACCCAGUACCUAUUAUAAACCCAUCUGUGUAUCUUACCCGUUGCUUCCGUGGAGCCGUCGGCAGCCAAGGCGCAAUCGUCGGCGGUCCCCCACGGGAGGUCCACACCAAAAACAUUGCAUUGCCAUGAUGUCUGUCUGAAAUGAAAACAACAAAAGUUA